UUGAUCUCAAAUCAGGCAGGACUACCCGCUGAACUUAAGCAUAUCAAUAAGCGGAGGAAAAGAAACUAACAAGGAUUCCCCUAGUAACUGCGAGUGAAGCGGGAAGAGCUCAAAUUUUAAAUCUGGCGUGCCUCUGGUCGUCCGAGUUGUAGUCUGGAGAAGCGUUUUCCGUGUUGGACCGUGUACAAGUCCCUUGGAACAGGGCGUCAUAGAGGGUGAGAAUCCCGUCUUUGACACGGACUACCAAUGCUUUGUGAUGCGCUCUCAAAGAGUCGAGUUGUUUGGGAAUGCAGCUCAAAAUGGGUGGUAAAUUCCAUCUAAAGCUAAAUACAGGCGAGAGACCGAUAGCGAACAAGUACCGUGAGGGAAAGAUGAAAAGCACUUUGGAAAGAGAGUUAAACAGUACGUGAAAUUGCUGAAAGGGAAACGCUUGAAGUCAGUCGCAUCUGCCAGGACUCAGCCUUGCUUCUGCUUGGUGUACUUUCUGGUUGGAUGGGCCAACAUCAAUUUUGACCGUUGGAGAAAGGCUUUGGGAAUGUGGCACCUUUGGGUGUGUUAUAGCCCUUGGUCGUAUGCAAUGGUUGGGAUUGAGGACUGCAGCACGCCUUCAUGGCCGGGGUUCGCCCACGUACGUGCUUAGGAUGUUGGCAUAAUGGCUUUAAGCGACCCGUCUUGAAACACGGACCAAGGAGUCUAACAUGCCUGCGAGUGUUUGGGUGGAAAACCCAUGCGCGUAAUGAAAGUGACAGCUGAGAUCCUCUCAUCAGGAGCAUCAGCGCCUGGACUUGAUCUACGGAGACGGUUCUACGGUAGAGCAUGUAUGUUGGGACCCGAAAGAUGGUGAACUAUGCCUGAAUAGGGUGAAGCCAGAGGAAACUCUGGUGGAGGCUCGUAGCGAUUCUGACGUGCAAAUCGAUCGUCAA
rnacentral:rRNA from 1 species